rnacentral:rRNA from 1 species
GGGUUUUGGGAUAUUUGGGUUAAGCGUCCUUAAGUUUGAAUAGUACUGGGUUGGAUGACCUUUUGGGAAGUUCAAAUUCAUGAGCUU